rnacentral:misc_RNA from 1 species
AGGGAGGAAUAUAUUUCUCCGGAGUACAAAUAUCGAUUGCCUUGUCUGGGGCGUAUUGUGUGCGUUCGGAAACUCAGUUCGCCUUUCAUGAACUCACGUGUCGCCGCGUAACUGUAGACUGUUCAUAUGUCGACGCACAGCCAGUACACGCACUGCAUUUCGCGUUGUACCCAGCAGUCGUGCGUUGUCCUAUGCUUGUGUGUGUUCUGCUAUGGCGGCGUCACAAUUCGCAGAUGACUUAGUCCGGGAUUAUUUGCGCUAUCGUGGUUUUUUUGCAUCCCUUAAAGCAUUUGACUCCGAAGUGAAGGCAGACAAAGACAAAGGUUUCCGACCUGAUCGCGUAGUGGAACACUUGAGCGCCUGCAUAGAAUCCAUGGACUUGGUAGGUCUGCGAGACACCUGGAGCCACUUAGACAGCCACAUUUUUCGACGACUUGAGCAGUCUUUUAUUCCCACUGUGCGGAAGUUGGAGAUGGCCCUGCUGCGCAUGUAUGUUGUUGCAUGUGUCACCAACAGCCGGCAAGACAAGCUUACGGAGUUCUUCGAUAAAAUGGCUCCUGAAUUACAUUUCCAGGCUGAAUGGAAAGAGUGGUUUGCACUCCCAUUUUUGAAGUGUGUGGAAGACAACCCAAAUUUUCAAGUCUACUUCACGCGCCAGUGGCAAGAAAUGAUGAUAAUCUCCUUAAGAAACUUCCUGAGUGUUGUAUAUCAAAGCAUGGCAUUGCCAACACUCCUGAGCUAUGAUGAAGACAUGAACAAGAUGCAGUUCUUGCAAGAAGAAAAUGAAUCUCUAAAGCAACAGCUGGCAGCUGGCAGGCCUGAAGUGUGCGAGACAGCAGAUGUUCUUGUUGCUCCUGAAGAGCCCAUGGAUGAUUUUUAUGUGAUAGCACAGGAGACUCCAGCUGCGGAGGGGGGCAGAAGAAUUUUACCAGCACUUAUGCGGACAUUUGGCAACAUUCAAACUUCACCUGUGACUGGUCGCAAACUGCAAGCAGACCAAAAGAAACAGACAUCAGAAGAGCAAAACAAAACAAAACGACCCCCAGCCAAUAGCACUUCUGAAAGCCAAACAUUGCCCCAAGACACCUCGACAGCAUCUUCUUUACAACUGAAGGAUGUAACAUUAGGUCGGCUUGCAGAGAAGCUGGAACGAGCAACUACGUCAACUUUUUUCUUGAAGAGCUCUUCUGGUGAGGAGGACAAGUUGCUCUUGCUCAAUCAAGAGGAGUACAGUGAACACCAGUCAUGCAUCACCCAUUGCAAGUUCAGCAAUUCAGGCACCCUGGCCAGUGCCGACACAGCCGGUGUGAUAAAGGUCUGGAGUUCCAACCCAUCUCCAAGAACGCUGGCCACUAUUGUGUCGUCCAAGUCUAGUGUGACAGCCCUGGAGUGGGUGCACAAGCACGAUCACUUGUUGGUUUAUGGGCUCAAGCAGGGAAACCUGCGGUUGUAUGACAUCAAGGAACGGAGAGCGCUUUUUGAUAUUGUGCCUGAGUCUGCGUCUGUUCUUAAAGAGCACAGUGUUGCUUGCCUAGCGUGCAGUCCAGUAGAGCCAGUCAUGGUGAGUUCACUUCACUCAGAGCCCUCCUUGGCAACAACUGCACCAGCUCCGGGGAAGCUGCUUCUGUGGGACUUGAAAAGCAAGCAGCUCCAGGGGCACCUUAAAUGCAGCUCAUCAGUGAAUUGCUGUGUAUUCAGCCACAAUGGCCAACUGCUAUUAUGUGGGACAUCAGGAGGCAACAUAUGUCUUUUUGCUGAGCCAGUGGAAUGUGUACAAGACAGGCCAGAAAGUAGCUGACUUUCCUCUCCAUGCUGGCUGUAUGGGACCAUCAGGAUUCCGGCCUGUAGGGAAACUUUUUUCACUAGGUGCCGACAGUGAGCAUAUCUUAACAUGCGCACCCACUUCCGGAAUUGUAUACAAGGAAGAAAAUGGCAGCUUUACUAAUGUCCUUUCUGUCGGCGACCAUAAGAGUCAUGUUGUUACUGUGGAUUGGUCACCAGCUGUGGACUGCAGCACUUGUGCUACUGCAUCAGUUGAUGGCUCCAUUUCCAUUGCAACACUCUUCAGCCA